CCCAUAUAAGCAGAGCAGGAGGAGCCCAGCCCCAAGCUGGGCCCAUUGCGGGCCAAGGGAUCCUCCGCCGGCAUCCCAGGUUCUGCGGUGGAUGCAGACAUGGAGCAGGAGCAGAACUGGAGCUGGGAACGGAGCAGGAGCCUCGAAAGUUUUGUUCUAGGUUCUGCGGUGGAUGCAGACAUGGAGCAGGAGCAGAACUGGAGCUGGGAACGGAGCAGGAGCCUCGAAAGUUUUGUUCUAGGUUCUGCGGUGGAUGCAGACAUGGAGCAGGAGCAGAACUGGAGCUGGGAACCGACCAGGAGCAGCAGCUGGGAAUGGAACUGGUAACGGAGCAGAAGCGGGCUGGCUGGAGGAGCACAGGGGCCGGAGCUGCAUUCAGCUGCCCGGGGGCAGGCAGCGCUGCCAGGACCCUGGCGCACACCCGCACAGGCUGUGCCGUGCCCCGGCAGGAGCUUUUGCAGCAGCUGCUCUCCGCUGCGGGUUCAGUGUCCUGCUGCAAGGAGGCUCUGCCUGCAGCUCAGAGCUGCCUUGCACCGUCUCAAGGGGCUCUCCAGGAAGGAGUCCCUCAGCCUGCUCUCAGCUCUCCUUCAGCUGCUGAAACGUAGCUCGAAGGUCUCCCUGGAGCCUUCUCCUCUCCAGGCUGAGCAGCCACAGCUCUCUCAGGCUGCCUUCACAGCAGAGCUUCUCCCACCCUCUGCUCAUGUUUGUGGCCUGCUCUGGAAGCCCUCCAGCAGCUCCCUGGCUCCCUUGUGUUGGGGGUGCCCCAGAGCUGGCCACAGCAGUCCAGGCUGAGCUCUCCCCAAAGCAGAGGGGCAGAUGGUUCACAAGCACAGACCCCACAGGCUGCCCAACGACCUUCCCACACUGCAGCUGCAGGUUUCAGUCAGAUCCUUUUAGUGUCAAAGCUGAGAGACUUGAGGGCUAAGGCACCAGCAGCACUGUGCUUCAAGCCAGAGAAACACCAAAUAAAAGGAGACCUCUCUUAACUGCAGUUUAAUUGCCCAAGCCAAGCACUAAGACAAGGAACAUGCAGAUGAAUUGGGUGACUUGCAGAGCCUAAACAGCUUUAUGAGGCUACUCCAACACAGUGCCCAGUUACAAACUGCUUCCCUGUGGAAGCAUUUUCACUUCCAGUGUUCUCCAAGCACCUGACUUUUCACACAGACCCUUUCCUCUGUGGCCCCAAAGGUCUUCAUUAGUUAAAGGAAGAUUUUCUUUGCUUUCCAGUAAGAACAAUAAGAGAAAUGCUUUGGUCUAAAAAAUCCUUGAAGCUUUCCUCUUGGUUUGUUGAAA